CAUUCUGUAUAUUCAGGAUUGAUUCCUAUGACUCCUAGAAGGAGACUAGUGAGGGAGGCCACCAAGACUCCUAUGACUCCUCUGAAGGAGUUACCAGCUUCAGUAGCUCAGGUGGAGAGACUGUUCAUACUGGCGCUGGAUGAGAUGUCAUUUACAAGGCCGCGCUCUCGCGAGUAAUGUAAUGUAAUCUUGCAAGAAUGGCGGCCCGCCACUCCUUUCACGCCUAAUUGACCGGUGCGCUUGUGCACGUUUCGGCCACUUCCACCCCAGGGGAGCGCUCCAGCGGGGCCGAAGUGUCCGGAACGGUGCAAUAUUUCAUUUCAAUAUUUCAUCAUCGUGUUUAAGAUUACCUAUUACUUUAAAUUUUUCUACUCUACUCUUAUUUUAGUUAAUGUAGUUUACCUUAAUAAUGUAUCAUAGUUAUAUUAUGUUAUUGCUUUUUUACUUUUAUGUCAUGUAAUUUGUUUUUUGUCAGCUAUAUGUGGUACAAGAAUUUCCUUCGGGAUUAUUAAAACUUUAUCUUACCUGAUCUCUAA